rnacentral:rRNA from 1 species
CCUACGGGUGGCUGCAGUAGGGAAUCUUCCGCAAUGGACGAAAGUCUGACGGAGCAACGCCGCGUGAGUGAUGAAGGUUUUCGGAUCGUAAAGCUCUGUUGCCAGGGAAGAACGUCCGUUAGAGUAACUGCUAACGGAGUGACGGUACCUGAGAAGAAAGCCCCGGCUAACUACGUGCCAGCAGCCGCGGUAAUACGUAGGGGGCGAGCGUUGUCCGGAAUUAUUGGGCGUAAAGCGCGCGCAGGCGGCUGUUUAAGUCUGGUGUUUAAUCCUGGGGCUCAACCCUAGGUCGCACUGGAAACUGGGCAGCUUGAGUGCAGAAGAGGAGAGUGGAAUUCCACGUGUAGCGGUGAAAUGCGUAGAGAUGUGGAGGAACACCAGUGGCGAAGGCGACUCUCUGGGCUGUAACUGACGCUGAGGCGCGAAAGCGUGGGGAGCAAACAGGAUUAGAUACCCUUGUAGUC